UACGGAGGGUGCAAGCGUUGUUCGGAAUCACUGGGCGUAAAGAGCGUGUAGGCGGCCAUGCAGGUCCGUUGUGAAAACUCGAGGCUCAACCUCGAGACGCCGGUGGAAACCGUGUGGCUAGAGUCCGGAAGAGGAGAGUGGAAUUCCUGGUGUAGCGGUGAAAUGCGCAGAUAUCAGGAAGAACACCCGUGGCGAAGGCGGCUCUCUGGGACGUGACUGACGCUGAGACGCGAAAGCGUGGGGAGCAAACAGG
rnacentral:rRNA from 1 species